ensembl:lncRNA
CAAUGUGGAGGCUAUAUACAGGGGAUACCAGUACAGAGUCAAUGUGGAGGCUAUAUACAGGGGCUACCGGUACAGAGUCAAUGUGGAGGCUAUAUACAGGGGGUACCGGUACAGAGUCAAUGUGGAGGCUAUAUACAGGGGAUACCGGUACAGAGUCAAUGUGGAGGCUAUAUACAGGGGGUACCAGUACAGAGUCAAUGUGGAGGCUAUAUACAGGGGGUACCGGUACAUAGUCAAUGUGGAGGCUAUAUACAGGGGGUACCGGUACAGAGUCAAUGUGGAGGCUAUAUACAGGGGGUACCGGUACAGAGUCAAUGUGGAGGCUAUAUACAGGGGGUACCAGUACAGAGUCAAUGUGGAGGCUAUAUACAGGGGGUACCGGUACAGAGUCAAUGUGGAGGCUAUAUACAGGGGGUACCGGUACAGAGUCAAUGUGGAGGCUAUAUACAGGGGGUACCGGUACAGAGUCAAUGCGGAGGCUAUAUACAGGGGGUACCGGUACAGAGUCAAUGCGGAGGCUAUAUACAGUGGGUACCGGUACAGAGUCAAUGUGGAGGCUAUAUACAGGGGGUACCGGUACAUAGUCAAUGUGGAGGCUAUAUACAGGGGGUACUGGUACAGAGUCAAUGUGGAGGCUAUAUACAGUGGGUACCGGUACAGAGUCAAUGUGGAGGCUAUAUACAGGGGGUACCGGUACAGAGUCAAUGUGGAGGCUAUAUACAGUGGGUACCGGUACAGAGUCAAUGUGGAGGCUAUAUACAGGGGGUACCGGUACAUAGUCAAUGUGGAGGCUAUAUACAGGGGGUACCGGUACAUAGUCAAUGUGGAGGCUAUAUACAGGGGGUACCGGUACAGAGUCAAUGUGGAGGCUAUAUACAGGGGUACUGGUACAGAGUCAAUGUGGAGGCUAUAUACAGGGGGUACCGGUACAGAGUCAAUGUGGAGGCUAUAUACAGGGGGUACCGGUGUCAAGGUAAUUGAGGUAAUAUGUAUAUGUGGGUAGAGUUAUUAAAGUGACAAUGCAUAGAUAAUAACAGGGAGUAGCAGGAGUAUGGGGG